rnacentral:rRNA from 1 species
AUGAUUUAGCUGUAAUUAUAGUAGAACAAGUUGGGAAGCUUGACGAUAGAGGGUGAUAGUCCCGUAUACGAAAUAAUCACAGUGGAACUAAGCAUACGAACAAGUAGGACGGGGCACGUGGAACCUUGUCUGAAUAUGGGGGGACCAUCCUCCAAGGCUAAAUACUCCUGAAUGACCGAUAGUGAACUAGUACCGUGAGGGAAAGGUGAAAAGAACCCUUAUAAAGGGAGUGAAAUAGAAUCUGAAACCGCUUGCAUACAAGCAGUAGGAGCAUGAUUUAGUCAUGUGACUGCGUACCUUUUGUAUAAUGGGUCAGCGAGUUAUUUUUAGUGGCGAGGAUAACUGAAUAAGGGAUCCGUAGCGAAAGCGAGUUUUAAUAGGGCGACUAGUCGCUAGGAGUAGACCCGAAACCGGCGCGAUCUAUCCAUGGCCAGGUUGAAGAUUAGGUAGUACUAAUUGGAGGACCGAACCCAAUACUGUUGCAAAAG